UACGUAGGGUGCAAGCGUUAUCCGGAAUUAUUGGGCGUAAAGAGCUCGUAGGCGGUUUUGUCGCGUCUGCUGUGAAAACUGGAGGCUCAACCUCCAGCCUGCAGUGGGGUACGGGGCAAACUAGAGUGCGGUAGGGGGAGAUUGGAAUUCCUGGUGUAGCGGUGGAAUGCGCAGAUAUCAGGAGGAACACCGAUGGCGAAGGCAGAUCUCUGGGCCUAACUGCGCUGAGGAGCGAAAGCAUGGGGGGAGCGAAACAGGG
rnacentral:rRNA from 1 species